rnacentral:rRNA from 1 species
UACGUAGGGUCCGAGCGUUGUCCGGAAUUACUGGGCGUAAAGAGCUCGUAGGUGGUUUGUCGCGUUGUUCGUGAAAACUCACAGCUUAACUGUGGGCGUGCGGGCGAUACGGGCAGACUUGAGUACUGCAGGGGAGACUGGAAUUCCUGGUGUAGCGGUGGAAUGCGCAGAUAUCAGGAGGAACACCGGUGGCGAAGGCGGGUCUCUGGGCAGUAACUGACGCUGAGGAGCGAAAGCGUGGGGAGCGAACGG